UACGAGGGGUGCAAGCGUUGCUCGGAAUCAUUGGGCGUAAAGAGCUCGUAGGCGGCUUGUCACGUCGAUUGUGAAAGCCCGAGGCUUAACCUCGGGUCUGCAGUCGAUACGGGCUAGCUAGAGUGUGGUAGGGGAGAUCGGAAUUCCUGGUGUAGCGGUGAAAUGCGCAGAUAUCAGGAGGAACACCGGUGGCGAAGGCGGAUCUCUGGGCCGUAACUGACGCUGAGGAGCGAAAGCAUGGGUAGCGAACAGG
rnacentral:rRNA from 1 species